UGCAAGUCGAGCGCCUGUAGCAAUACAGGAGCGGCAGACGGGAGAGUAACACGUGGGAACGUACCCUCCAGUUCGGGACAACCAAGGGAAACUUUGGCUAAUACCGGAUACGUCCGAAAGGAGAAAGAUUUAUCGCUGAGGGAUCGGCCCGCGUCUGAUUAGCUAGUUGGUGAGGUAACGGCUCACCAAGGCGACGAUCAGUAGCUGGUCUGAGAGGAUGAUCAGCCUCAUUGGGACUGAGACACGGCCCAAACUCCUACGGGAGGCAGCAGUGGGGAAUAUUGGACAAUGGGCGCAAGCCUGAUCCAGCCAUGCCGCGUGGGUGAUGAAGGCCCUAGGGUUGUAAAGCCCUUUCGGCGGGGAAGAUAAUGACGGUACCCGCAGAAGAAGCCCCGGCUAACUUCGUGCCAGCAGCCGCGGUAAUACGAAGGGGGCUAGCGUUGCUCGGAAUCACUGGGCGUAAAGCGCACGUAGGCGGACUCUUAAGUCGGGGGUGAAAUCCUGGAGCUCAACUCCAGAACUGCCUUCGAUACUGGGAGCCUUCGAGUUCGGGAGAGGUGAGUGGAACUGCGAGUGUAGAGGUGAAAUUCGUAGAUAUUCGCAAGAACACCAGUGGCGAANGCGGCUCACUGGCCCGAUACUGACGCUGAGGUGCGAAAG
rnacentral:rRNA from 1 species